rnacentral:ncRNA from 1 species
UAAAAGUUUUAUUUUUGUUUAAAAAAAUUAGGUUAAAUUUGAUAUUUAUAUGUAAAUUUUUGUUGUGAUAUUAAAAAAUUAUUUAAAAAAUAAUAGGAAAUUAUAUUCGCAGUAAAUAAUUUUAUUAAUUAAUGAAAAUUAGAUUUAGUUAAAAUUUUAAGUAUUAACAAAAUUUGUGCCAGCAGUUGCGGUUAUACAAAUAUUACAAUUUAAUUAAUUUUAGUAUUAAUAUAUAUAAAUAAUUAAAAUUUUUAAUUUAAAAUUUAUUAGGUGAAAUUUUAAUUUUUAAGGGAAGAUUGUUUUUUUAAUUUAUUUAAUAAAUUUAAUUUUAGACUAGGAUUAGAUACCCUAUUAUUAUAAACGUAAAUUUUAGCUAGAUUAGUAUUAGUUAUUUUCUUGAAAAUUAAAGAUUUUGGCGGUUUUUUAGUCUAUUCAGAGGAACCUGUUCUGUAAAUGAUAAUCCACGAUUUAAAUUACUUUUUUUAGAAUUUGUAUAUCGUCGUAAUAGAAUAUUUUAUAAGAAUUUUAAUAUUCAAUAUUUAUUUUUUAAUUUAAAUCAGAUCAAGGUACAGUGUAUAAAAAAGGAGAAAUGGGUUACAUUAAUUUUAAUUAAGGAAUAUGAAUUGUAAAUGAAUAUGAAUGUGGAUUUGAAAGUAAUUAUAAAUAAAUUUUUAUAAUGAUUAUAGCUCUAAAUUAUGUACAUAUUGCCCGUCGCUUUCAUUUUAAGAUGAAAUAAGUCGUAACAGAGUAGGCUUACUGGAAAGUGGGCCUAGAAAGAA